ACGGAAGGCAGCAGUGGGGAAUAUUGCACAAUGGGGGAAACCCUGAUGCAGCGACGCCGCGUGAGUGAAGAAGUAUUUCGGUAUGUAAAGCUCUAUCAGCAGGAAAGAAAAUGACGGUACCUGACUAAGAAGCCCCGGCUAACUACGUGCCAGCAGCCGCGGUAAUACGGAGGGUGCAAGCGUUAUCCGGAUUUAUUGGGUUUAAAGGGUGCGUAGACGGUCUGGUAAGUCAGUGGUGAAAUUGGCUCGCUCAACGAGACAAUUGCCAUUGAUACUGUUGGACUAGAAUGCGAUCGGCGUCGGAGGAAUGCGACAAGUAGCGGUGAAAUGCUUAGAUAUGUCGCAGAACACCGAUAGCGAAGGCAUCCGAUGAGGUCGCAUUGACGUUCAGGCACGAAAGCGUGGGGAUCGAACAGGAUUAGAUACCCUGGUA
rnacentral:rRNA from 2 species